AUUUAAAUAGCUUAUAAAGAGUAUAAUAUUGAAGAUAUUAAGGAGAUUUUUUAAAUCUUUAAAUA
rnacentral:tRNA from 1 species